AAAAUGGUGAUGAACAAGAGGAGUACAUUUUUAAGACCCUCAGAGAAAGCGGCUCACUGGCUGAAAGGCCGCUUGGGAAUACUUGAAAAUGGAAGGUAGCUUGUGAGCCGGACAGGUGAGAAAGAUACAUUAGCCUGUUCCGUUGGCCCGCGUUAAGGGAGCGAGUACGAAAGGCUUUAAAAUAUAUAUAAGAUAUGUUUCAGGUUUUCGUAUUCCAUGAGAUGACCGGAUAUGGAUGAUAUAUGUGUUGUACAUAUCGGUUGGAUCAAAGGUGGUACCGCGAUACAGUCGCCCUUUGC
rnacentral:ncRNA from 1 species